rnacentral:rRNA from 1 species
CCAGCUCCAAUAGCGUAUAUUAAAGUUGUUGCAGUUAAAAAGCUCGUAGUUGGAUUUCGGGCUAGGGCGAGCCGGUGGUUUCCACUAGGCUAACCCUGGCCUUUCACUCUGGGGACCACGUCACUUUUAACUAAGGGGCGCUGGGACGCAGGUCGUUUACUUUGAAAAAAUCAGAGUGUUCAAAGCAGGCGUUUGCUUGAAUACAUUAGCAUGGAAUAAUGAAAUAGGACUUUGGUUCUAUUUUGUUGGUUUAUGGGACCGAAGUAAUGAUUAAUAGGGACAGUUGGGGGCGUUUGUAUUCCGUUGUCAGAGGUGAAAUUCUUGGAUUUACGGAAGACAAACAACUGCGAAAGCAUUCGCCAAGGAUGUUUUCG